rnacentral:lncRNA from 1 species
GUUUAGUGCCAUAUUUAAUUUGAUGUGAAUGGAAAUGAGGAUGUGAGGGACAGAAGAACAGUGUGUUCAAUAUGUUCGUGCAAAACAACCUUCAUUCUUUCUCUUCUCCCCCAAAGAGAUGUAUAUAUUGUGUUCUGUGCAAGCAAUCCAGUGCGGUUCACUGUUCCCAGCAGAGCCUCUGUUUCCUCCUCGACACAUGCCCGGAGACAGGAGAGCCAAUCAGAGAGAGCGAGGGAGGGGCCUCUGCACCAUAUGUUGAACCAAGCUGGUUUCCUGAACAACCACACAGCUCUAGGCCGGAUGUCUCAUGUCACACAGUUCUCUCUGUGCACUAGGCCAGCUGUGCCCUUUCCUGCCCUCUUGGCUUCUCCCCUUGUUUUGCAAUAAAGGUG